rnacentral:ncRNA from 1 species
UUGAGCUGUAUGCGAUGAAAGUCGCACGUACAGUUCUUAGAGGAUGAUAUGUUGUAAAACAUUUCGUAGCCUCAACAGACCCUAU